rnacentral:rRNA from 1 species
CCUACGGGAGGCAGCAGUGAGGAAUAUUGGUCAAUGGUCGCAAGACUGAACCAGCCAUGCCGCGUGCAGGAAGACGGUCCUAUGGAUUGUAAACUGCUUUUAUACAGGAAGAAACCCUCCCACGUGUGGGAGCUUGACGGUACUGUAGGAAUAAGGAUCGGCUAACUCCGUGCCAGCAGCCGCGGUAAUACGGAGGAUCCAAGCGUUAUCCGGAAUCAUUGGGUUUAAAGGGUCCGUAGGCGGUCUUAUAAGUCAGUGGUGAAAGCCCAUCGCUCAACGAUGGAACUGCCAUUGAUACUGUAAGACUUGAAUGCUUAGGAAGUAACUAGAAUAUGUAGUGUAGCGGUGAAAUGCUUAGAUAUUACAUGGAAUACCAAUUGCGAAGGCAGGUUACUACUAAGUGAUUGACGCUGAUGGACGAAAGCGUGGGGAGCGAACAGGAUUAGAUACCCUGGUAGUCCACGCCGUAAACGAUGGAUACUAGUUGUGGGAACCUUCCACGGUUUCCGCGACGCAGCAAACGCAUUAAGUGCCCCGCCUGGGGAGUACGAUCGCAAGAUUAAAACUCAAAGGAAUUGACGG